UGUCUGUUAUAUAUACAGGCUAAUGACACAGAGAUAAAAUUAUAGCAGUUCUUCUGCAAGAUCUUUCCUGGUUUCUUUUCUUUUAUCUCCUCUUCAGACAAAUACAUUAGAUUCUGAUUGGAAGAUCCUCUUAGAGGCUGUAAAGAAGAACCAAAUUCAAAGGCUGACAAGAACAAGCUCAACUGGGAAAACAAAGAAGUGCUGGCUGCCGUUUGCGGCCAGGAGUCCUAUCGCAGCUGCCACAGAGUUGCAUCAGCCAACGCAGCAGCCUUGAUCCAUGCAACAGCCAUGCAGCCUGGCAAGGGCACUCACACGCAGGCCAGAUCAUCCCUCCUUUUAUUGAACAGCCGCAACAAACCAAAUAUAUGGGUACGUGCACACCCCUC